GGACCCGUAGCGCAGCGGCAGUCGCGCCGCCCUGCAAAGGCGGAGGACGCCGGUUCGAAUCCGGUCGGGUCCC
rnacentral:tRNA from 1 species